rnacentral:rRNA from 1 species
CCUACGGGUGGCAGCAGUAGGGAAUAUUGCUCAAUGGGCGAAACCCUGAAGCAGCAACGCCGCGUGGAGGAUGAAGGUUUUCGGAUUGUAAACCCCUUUUGGUAGGGAAGAAAAGGACGGUAGCUAACGAAUAAGGACCGGAUAACUCCGUGCCAGCAGCCGCGGUAAUACGGAGGGUGCGCGGGUUACUCGGAAUCACUGGGCGUAAAGAGAGCGUAGGCGGGAUAGCAAGUCAGAUGUGAAAUCCGCGGGCUUAACCAUAGAACUGCAUUUGAUACUGUUAUUCUAGAGUGUGGGAGGGGUAGGUGGAAUGCAUGGUGUAGCGGUGAAAUGCGUAGAGAUCAAGCAGAAUACUGAUUGCGAAGGCAGCCUACCAGAACAUAACUGACGCUGAUGCGCGAAAGCGUGGGGAGCAAACAGGAUUAGAUACCCUUGUAGUC